rnacentral:rRNA from 1 species
UACCAGCACCCCGAGUGGUCGGGACGUUUAUUGGGCCUAAAGCAUCCGUAGCCGGUUCUACAAGUCUUCCGUUAAAUCCACCUGCUUAACAGAUGGGCUGCGGAGGAUACUAUAGAGCUAGGAGGCGGGAGAGGCAAGCGGUACUUAGUGGGUAGGGGUAAAAUCCGUUGAUCCAUUGAAGACCACCAGUGGCGAAGGCGGACUUGCCAGA